UACAGAGGGUGCAAGCGUUGUUCGGAAUCACUGGGCGUAAAGCGCGCGCAGGUGGGUAUGCAAGUCUGCAAGUGAAAUCUAGCCGCUCAACGGCUGGGCUGCUUCGGAUACUACAUGCCUAGGGACCGGUAGAGGCUGGUAGAAUUGCAGGUGUAGCGGUGGAAUGCGUAGAGAUCUGCAAGAAUACCCGUGGCGAAGGCGGCCAGCUGGGCCGGGUCCGACACUGAGGCGCGAAAGCGUGGGGAGCAAACAGG
rnacentral:rRNA from 1 species